rnacentral:lncRNA from 1 species
UGCCAAGGUUCACAUUAUAAAACAACUUAGUUCAUUACUUGAGAAUAAAUAUAUGGAUUUCCUUUAAAAAAUGUGUUCAGGGGCCAGGAACCAUGGCUCACACGUGUAAUCCCUAGCGCUGUGGGAGGCUGAGGUGGAAGGAUCACAUGAGGCCAAGAAUUUGAGAUCAGCCUGGGCAACAUAGCAAGACCUUGUUUCUAAGAAAGAAAAAUUUUUAAAUUGGCCUGGCGUGGUGGUCUAUGCUUGUAGUGCUAGCUACUGAGGAGGCUGAGGUGGGAGGAUUGCUUGAGCCCAGAAGUUCAAAGCUGCAGUGAGCCACCAUUGUGCGUUUCCUGGGAACUGAAUUUAUCAUUAAUUUUAUUAUUUCUACAUAUGGUGGCAAUAUUACCUUACUCAGGAAUCUCUUCAGACUUACCAUCUGACAUAUCCUUAAGGACCAGAUUCUCCAACUCACUCCACUCAGUAUUCAGACGUUUCAUUAAUUUGAAUGCAUUUACUGGAUGCCCAACAAAUCCUUCUGGAUCUUUUGUCGCUGUACUAGUCAGCCGAUCUAACUUCUCUGCCCAUCUACAGAUGUAAAACAUAAAAACCGAAUAUUUAUAUUUCAUAGGGAAAAACACAAUUUAAUGAAAUGCUCAGAAAAAAAUGACUAGAAGUUUUUGAGUUCAACUAUACCUGUAGUUUCUUUUUAAAGUAAAAUUAUAUGGUCUCUUUAAAAAGCGA